CCUACGGGGGACAGCAGUGGGGAAUAUUGGACAAUGGGGGGAACCCUGAUCCAGCGACGCCGCGUGUGUGAAGAAGUAUUUCGGUAUGUAAAGCUCUAUCAGCAGGGAAGAAAGAAAUGACGGUACCUGACUUAGAAGCCCCGGCUAACUACGGGCCAGCAGCCGCGGUAAUCCGUAGGGGGCAAGCGUUAUCCGGAUUUACUGGGUGUAAAGGGAGCGUAUACGGCGAUGCAAGUCUGAAGUGAAAGGCGGGGGCCCAACCCCCGGAGUGCGUUGGAAACUGUAUGGCUGGAGUGCAGGAGAGGUAAGUGGAAGUCCUAGUGUAGCGGUGAAAUGCGUAGAUAUGAGGAGGAACACCAGUGGCGAAGGCGGCUUACUGGACUGUAACUGACGUUGAGGCUCGAAAGCGUGGGGAGCAAACAGGAUUAGAUACCCUAGUAGUC
rnacentral:rRNA from 1 species